UAUCACCCCCUUUUUAUGUUACCAUCCCUUCUGUCUGACGUCACGCCCUCUGCCUUUAUAUCUUCACUGCUCUCUGUCUCAUUGAAUGAACUCUGUUAUGUUCAUCCUGGUAGUGUCACCACAACUGCCCUCCACUCAGAGUCUGUGCAUUCUGUUGCCAUUCCCCCUGGCUCUGUCUCCUCUCACUCUGAAUCCUCCAUCUCUGUCCCUUGCUUGGCUUCUGUCUCCUCUAUUUCUGUUGGAGCCUCUUUCUCUGAGUUCUACCUUCUAUCUCUGUCUCUGUCCCCUCAGCUUCUGUUCCACUUCUCUCUUUGCUAUUCUCUUUUCUUUUCUUUCUUUUUGACAGAGUCUCACUCUGUUGCCCAGACGAGGCUGGAGUGCAGUGGUGCGAACACCACGCACUGCAGCCUCCAACUCUCAGGCUCUAGUGAUCCUCCCACCUCAGCCUCCCAGGUAGCUAGGACCACAGAUGUGUGUCACUAUCACCACGCCUGGCUAAUUUUAAACAUUUUUGUAGGGACACGGUCUCCUUUUGUUGCCCAGGUUGGAGGGUAGUGGCAUCAACAUAGCUCACUGCAGCCUUCACCUCCCUGGCUCAAGUGGUCCUCCUGCCUCAGCCUCCCAAAUGGCUGAGACCACAGGCGCACAACACCAUGCCCAGUGAACUUUUAUAUGUUUUUUUGUAGAGACAGGCUUUUGCCACGUUGGCCGGGCUGGUCUUGAACUCCUGACCUCAAGUGAUCUGCCCACCUCUGCCUCCCAAAGUGCUGGGAUUACAUUCAUGAGCCACCAUGCCCGGCCUGUCUUUGCUAUUUGCCACAGCUCUCUGUGCCCUCUGUGCACUCUUAAUCUAGUAUUGCUUCCUGAAUCUCUGAUAUUGACACCAUUAUCUCUGCCCCAUCCAUCUGAGUUUGUUCUCUUUGCCUCACUCGCUGUUGCCUCAGAUUUUGUCUCUGGCACCAUCUCCAUUUUUGUCACUUUUCCCUGUAUCACUUCUGUUAUCUCUGCCAUGUGUCUAACACUGUCCACUAUAUCUUUAUAGCCUUUGGGUCUCUGUCUUCUCUGUCUCUAUGGCUGUCACCUUCUCUGUGUCGGCCACAUCCCCUUAUCUCUUUCUCCCCUAUCACUGUCCCCUAGUCUCUGUCCCUUCUGUCACAGUCCUCCCUGUUUCUAUUACUGUCCCCUUGGUCUCUCUCCCAUCUUCCUCCUUCCUCUUCUUCCCCUCUCCUUCUCCUUCUCCUUCCCCUUCUCCCUCUCCUCUCCCUCUCCUUCUUCUCUCUUUCUCUCACUUACUCUUUCUUUUUCGUUGUUGUUGUUGUUGCUUUGUGUUUUUUUGACGUAGUCUCACCCUGUCGCCCAGGCUGGAGUGCAGUGACACAAUCUUGGUAAACUGCAACCUUUGCCUCCCGGGUUCAAGCGAUUCUCCUGCCUCAGCCUCUCCAGUAGCUGGAACUCUCCAGUAGCAGGCACUACAGGCGCCGCCACCAGACCCGCCUAAUUUUUGUAUUUUUAGUAGAGAUGGGGUUUCCCCGUGUUGGCCAGGAUGGUCCUGAACUUCCGGCAUCAAGUGAUCCUCCUGCCUUGACGUCCCAAAGUGUUGGGUUUACAGUUGUGAGCCACCACGCCUGGUCCUCUUUCCCGUCUUUCUUAGACCUCUUGACCUCUCUCCUGGACCGUGGGGUCUUUGUCUUGGUCCCCUCUCUAGUUCGCUCCCAUCAGAUUCACUGUCUUCUCUCUCUGGUCCUCUCCCCUUUGCCUCGGACUGUAUCCUCUUCGUCGCUGUUGAUCCCACUGCUGCACUGUCCUCGCUGCUGUCUUCUCCCAGUCCUGUCGCCAUCCCCAUCCCCAUCCCCUGCCUCAGUCCCCUGUGCCGUCGGCCGCUCCACCUGUGACCGUGGAGUCUUUUUCUGUCCCCUGCGUCUCUGUCACAUCGUCUCUUGUCGCUCCUAGUCGGAGGCCCUGCCUCCCUCGCCUCAGGGCCCUUCCCCGUCUCCUUCUCUUCCUGUCAUCCCUGGCUCCUUCCCAGCGUCUUUCCUUCCUUCUCCGAAUCGUCCUCUGCUCCUCUGGGUUUGCGCCUGCUGGGAGCUCUGCCCCUGGGAGCUGUUUCCUCCUCUCAGUCUCUGGGUGUUUCCUAGGGGGUCACAUGCUCUUCUAGGCCUGUCCUGGGGCAGAGGGGCCACCCUGAGGUCCAUCAGUCAGUCUGACCAUCUCCUUCGAACCUCGAGCCUCUCGCCUCGCCUCGCCUGACGCCCUUUCCCACCCUUUAUCUUUCCCUUCAGGAUAAAAAAUAAAAAGGGUCGGAAGCAUCAGCGCAUAGGGCCCAAUCGCCACUCCGGAACAGGUGCGCGCGGCGGGCCCGCGGGCUGGCGGGAGCUCACACGAACUCACGCGCGAGCUCGCAGGCCGCGGCGGCCGGCUGGCCACUAGUGACGUCGCAGGGGCUUGUCCCUGCCUUACUGGCUGCCUUCGACCAGCGCGCGCUUGCUGGAGUAGACGGCCGCGCCUCGCCAAGCGCCAGGGGGCGCUCAGCGCUAGAGCUCACUGACCCUGGGAGCCCUAUGGAGAGACUCGUGUCAUUCUGGCAACCCUGUCCUACCUGAUUGGAUACCUGCUGCAGUUCGUUGGAUCCAUUACUCUGAUCGGAUGCCUGAUGCAGUGCAGCAGUGCCAUCACAGCUCCCUGCAGCCUCAAACUCCUGGGCUCAAGUGAUUCUCCUGCCUCAGCCACCAGAGUAGCUGGGACUACAGCCGAAGGUAUCAUAACAGAUACAGCAUUAUACACCUGGAGCUCCAAGUGACCAUCUCAUUGCCACUGCAAACACCUACCCGAGAGAGAAGCCAAUAGCCAGGCACGGUGGCUCACGCCUGUAAUCCCAGCACUUUGGGAGGCCAAGGUGGGCAGAUCACAGGAGGUCAGGAGUUCGAGACCAGCCUGCCAACAUGGUGAAACCCCGUCUCUACUAAAAAUACAAAAAAUUAGCCAGGCGUGGUGGCGAGCGGCUGUAAUCCCAGCUACUCAGGAGGCUGAGGCAGGAGAAUCGCUUGAAACCGUGAGGUUGCAGUGAGCCGAGAUCACACCACUGCACUCCAGCCUGGGCAACAAGAGUGAAACUCCAUCCAAAAAAAAAAAAAAAAAGAGGAAAGCAGAAGUGAGAGUCCCUUGAACAGCUGGAUCUAACCAUGCCUGAAGUCCCUCUGUGUUCAAUGUGUUCAUAGGCUUUCCAUGGACAGAGGUCUUUCAAUUCUGUUUACGGCUUUGGGUUGAAUUUUGUGUUCUGUACUCACAAUGAUCCUGACUAACACCAUUUUUAUAAACUGAGGCUCAGAGAG